GGACAGCUUGGGAAAGGAUGUUGAAUUGGGUCGGACAACUGUGUCCCCACCUUGACAAGAGAAUACACCUUUCCCAGGAAGAGCUUGAUCAUCCUAAGUUCUCCAAGCUGUGUCAGAUGCUGACUUCCUUUCACACGUCAGAAAUAAAACAAGCCUGCAUGCACUCGGACCAGUAGUGUGCAACCCAGAGGACUGGAGAGUCUCAGAAUUUAUGUGGCAGCAUCUCUGCCCUCGAAGGCACCCCUAAUUCACCUGGCCCCGAAUGAAUUCAUCAUCUUAUUUCCCAGUCUCUCCUUGGACCACCCAUCUCAGUGAAUGCCAUCACCAUGCACCAAAGCAUCAGAGGCAGAAAACAAGCUGCACAGAGCUGAGAGUGGGGACAGUCUCAAGAGGCCCUGCAAGCCACACCUCAGACACAUCGCAAGGAUGGCUGCCUCUUGCCACAGAAGUCCAAGCCAAUAAUUCUCCUCAAGCUGGAAAAUGGAUGAUCUAGCUCCAUCCAUGGAAGAAGGCAGGACGAUGUGGAAAAGAUAAGUAUUCACCAAACAUGCACAUACACACACACGCUAAACCCACACACCAAGUUAGACCCACAGAUAAGCCAGUCACAGGCACACACAAACACAUACACAGACCUAUACCAGCGCGGAGAGACACAAAGACACAAAGAGAGACAUCCCAAAUAAACACAGAUAGGCGUACAGACACCAAAAGACCAUGCAAAAGUGCGACCACAGAGAGGCAUGCAGGAGAUAAUGUGUAACACAAAUAUACACA